rnacentral:rRNA from 1 species
GUCUACAGCCAUGCACCCUGUACACGCCCGAUCUCGUCUGAUCUCGGAAGCUAAGCAGGUCGGGCCUGGUUAGUACUUGGAUGGGAGACCACUUAGGAAGACUUAGGAAGACCAGGUGCUGUAGGCA